UAACAAAAAAAAGCUAAUAAAAAUUAAACUAUGAUAUCACUUGAAAGCUUCUUAGACAAUAUUAAUAAAAUAUUUAAACGAAAAUUAGACAAAUUUAAUUUUUUUUUUCCAGCCAAAAAUUUAUUAUUAAUUAGAAUCAGUUAUUUCAAGAUAUUUAAAGAAAUGAUGGACAAAAAAAUAAGAUGAACAUAAAUGAUAUAUGAACUAUGAGUAGUACUUUAUAAAGUUGAAUUAGAUAAUACAUAUGCACAUUCAUUUAGUAAGUAAUUUCAUUUUUCUUAUAUUAUAUAAUAAAUAUAUAUUAUUUACUGAUAAUAAAAAUAUAGUUAUUCAUCUAUCACAAAUAUCUAUGCAAAUAUGUGAACCAAGUACAACAAUCAAACAACAUAAUGAUUUCCACAAAGAAAAUUUUAAAAAUAUAUUUAUGUUAUGUAGUCUUAUUUUAUAUUAUUUAAACAAUGUAAUACAAUAUUAUACAUAAUUUUUUAGAAUUGAGAAAUACAUAUAAUAUCUUAUCCGCGCGUAGCGCGGUUAAAAAAUCUAGUCACUAUAAAAUUUGUAUGUUAUUCAAUUAUGUAUUUCAUAAAUUCUUUUAAAUUCUUGUCUUAUUGGAUUUUGUUUUUGAAAUCAUUCUACUAAAGUAUUUUGAAUUCUAAUUAUGUAUUUCAUAAAUUCUUUUAAAUUCUUGUCUUAUUGGAUUUUGUUUUUGAAAUCAUUCUACUAAAGUAUUCAAUUAUGUAUUUCAUAAAUUCUUUUAAAUUCUUGUCUUAUUGGAUUUUGCUUUUGAAAUCAUUCUACUAAAGUAUUUUGAAUUCUAAUGUUAUUUAUUUCACUAAUUUUAUAAUAAUUCUAUUAAAUUUUUGUGUUAUUCAUUUUUUGUGGAUUUCAUGGUAAUUUUAUUGAAAAAGAAUUUAAUGAAAAUUUAUCAAAAAAUGUAAAGAACCAAUUCUUCAGACUUAAAGUAGGAUUUGAAGAUUAUUUUUUAUAUAAUUUAUUUAUUAGAUAUGGACGUCAAAGUUAUUGAUACUAUAGAUUUGUAAAUGUAAUGUUUGUUAUCAAAAUGACAAAAGUAUAUGUUUGUAAUCCAUAUUACAUGGAAGAGAAAAAAACAUUAUAUUAUCUUAUAGUAUUUUCUCUACAUCUUUAUAUAGUGAUAUGUGACUAAUUGGCUUUUUAUUAAUUUUCGUUAGUAAAGUUUUUAUUCCACUUUUAAAAAUGAAUUUCUCUAUCUACAUGGUAUAGAAAUGAUUAUGAGUUUAUUAUGUUCAUCAUUAAAAAAAUUGGUCCUUGUUUGUGCAUUUUUUUAUACAAAAUUUCAAAAAAAAUCAUGAAAUUUAAAGAAAUUGGUUUCUAUCAAAUUAAAUUGUAUUCCUUUAAAAUCUAAAAUGGAAAAAUUUAGAAAAUAUCAUUAAAUCCUCACCAAAUCAUUUAAAAUAAUUCAAAAUCUAUUAUUUAUAUUUUCAAUUGACUUUUUCGAAAUAAAUUAAAUUUUUGAAUCCAAUACCACCUCCUAAAAAUAAAAUGAAACUGAACUAAAGGAAAAAAAGAGAAUAAAAAACUAAUCUAAACUAACUUUUUUGAAAAUUACAGAUAUUUUAAUAAAAGUUGAAUUUGAAUCAAAACCUAUAUUCUGAACAAUCAAGUCAGUUUCAAGAGCAAGAGAGUUGCCGCUAAACUGAACCGAGACGUAUGAAGAGAAUGUGUUGAUGUUUCUGUUUUUUUUUUCCAUUGAAUCAAUCAGUGUCAAGAGCAAGAGAAGAAAAACUAAGAAGAGCCAGAUUUAUUUUCGGUUUACCUGUGAAAUCGAAGUUGACGGCGUUACCGCUAAGCUGAACCGAGACGUCUGGAGACAAUCUGUUGAUGCACUGCGAUCACUGGAUCCAACGUGAGGCGAGCUUUUUGUUCCAAACCAAACUAUUUAUGAUCCAAAUUUCAAAAUGAAAUUGAACUAUAGUUAAAAAUCAGCUACCAUUUCACUAUCUAAAGUAAAAAAAUCAGAUAUUUAUUAGAUAAUUACUCAAUUUCGUAGUUUUGGUAACAUCUACUACAAUGUUGUUUUUAACAAAUUAAAAAGUAUCAUUACCACCGUUUUUAUAUGAUAACAAUUAAUUAGUCAAAAAAAUCUUCAAGUAACUCUUAAUUUUUGCUUAAACAAAAAAAAAAAUCAAACCUCUAACUUUUGACUGUACGUGUAUAUAGUAAUUUGACAAAUAAAAUUUUAAAUUAUUUUGGUUUACUUGUUUUAGUUUGAUCUGGAUUGAAUAAAAUUAGUUUCAGACAAGAUUUCGAUUUUUGGUGCUCCAAUUAAUGGAUAAUUAGGAUUGUUCGUUUUGUUUUUAUUUUUUCAUAAUGGUUUCUUUCCACCACUAAUUAAUAAUGUUUCAAAAGCAGGUGGUUUAUACCUAAUAUACACACAACUCCCAUAGUUUAGAACACGAGUACAGGACUCAUACCUCAUGCGGACUUUGGGGAAGUUUUCAAUUAGUUUGCGAGUCUAUACGAUAUCAAAGUGCAAAAGACCUAUAACUUUAACACAAUAUAAAGUGUUCGAACAUGAACCAACAUACAGAAAUGUUUGAAAUUGAAAAGUUCAAUGAGAAUGUGACUUUAAUCUCUGGAGUAUAAAGAUAUGGCUUAACUCGAUAUUUUUGGUUAUAUAAUCAUGGUUACGCUCGAUACAGAUAAUGAAUCCGAGUGUCAGAAAGGUAAAACACUUGGAAAUAUUUUUGAUCCAAUAGACUAGAGAAUCUCUUGAUCACGAGUUUAAUGGAUCUAUCGAUUUACAUAAUGAAUGAACCUACGGCCUUUCAUAGGUUGGGCUCUAAAAUAUUUACCAGUCCAAGUCAUUAUCAAAUAAAAUCUAACCAAUAAUAGUUAGAGCAUGCGCAUUGGGGUAUUAUGUGCGGGAGAUAUGUGACCGAAUUUCAUUAUCUUAGUGGUUUCGGUCUUUUCAUAAAUGCAUACAUCAAAAUAUAGCUUUGAAACUUAUAUACUGUAUAUGCUUAUGUUAGAUAUAUUAGAUUAAAUGUUAAACGAUACUAUAAGAUAAUAAAUUCAAUGCAUAAAUUAUUAAAACAUAAGAAGUGAUGCACAAUCAGGUGGGCAUUAGUGGUUUUUAAAGCUGUCCACUAAUAUAAACUGCAAAUAGAGUUAGAUUAGAACAUGAUCGAUGGUACAAGGAACUAUAGCAAAGAUCAUCUUAGUCACACCGGCUUUCUCUUGCACAUGCUUUGUUCUGUGCCUUGUACACCUAGCAACGAUAUCUUUCCAAUUGAUUCAUUUACAACGUAGCAGCUAAUACAUAUUUUUAUAGAUUUCUACGUUUUUUUAUAAACGCUCGGUUUCAAGUUUCAACAUAGUUCUUGUUAAAUUAUCUUUAUAUCUUUGGAAUAAAUCAACGUGUCUCUAUCUUUUUAUCCUUUGACAAGAAAAUCUUUUAUGUACUCAACUUCCAACAGGCUCUAGGGUUUCUUGAAUAAAUAACCUAAAUAAAUCACUUUAAGCUAGCGUUUCAAUUUUGAUAAUUCUUAAUAUAAAUUAAAUCCCAUAACAUUUGAGUCUAUAUGAAACUAAAGCUUAUACGGUUUCUUCUUGUAAUUGCAAUUUAUUGCGUUAAGAAAUACAACUAUACCGUUUCUGUAUGCAUAGCUGCUUUUAAAAGCACACUAGGUAAUAACCCGCGCCUUGCGCGGGAUGUGAUUAUUAGUUUCGUUAUUUUUAAUAAAAAAGACAAUAAAUCUGUUUAAUCUAGAUAUUGGUUAGGUUUUACGUUUUUUUUGUUUUUAAUCUUCUAAAAUAUAACUAUUAUUUUAAAUUAAUAUUCAUUUUAGUUUAUUCGGUUAAAACAUUUGAUUUUUUGGUUUUUUCGGAUAAAAACCUAAAAUUAAUGUUAUAUGUUUAUUUUCAUAUUAUGAAGUUUAGAUAGUUGUCAUGUCGAACCAAUAGUUUCAUAUUAUAGUUUUUAAACAGAUAAUAGUUUAAGAAAAAGAAAAGAAAAUUAUUAAGACAAAUCAUUUCACUACAAUUUGGUCGGUAGUGAAAGAAACAUUAAGAAAAAAUAUUUCAACUUUCAAAAAAAUUAGAUACUUCAGCUGUGGUGAAUACUUAGUUAUAAGAUGCGCACAUCAAGGUACACAUGUAUGUUUAUGUAAAAAGUAUAUAAAAAUAGUUGAAAAAUAUAUAAAGAUAUUGUUAAUUAAUAUUAAAUGACAUUUUUGUUCAGAAUAAUACAUGAAAGAUAAAAUUAAAAU